rnacentral:rRNA from 1 species
UGGGGAAUAUUGGACAAUGGGCGCAAGCCUGAUCCAGCCAUGCCGCGUGAGUGAUGAAGGCCCUAGGGUUGUAAAGCUCUUUCACCGGUGAAGAUAAUGACGGUAACCGGAGAAGAAGCCCCGGCUAACUUCGUGCCAGCAGCCGCGGUAAUACGAAGGGGGCUAGCGUUGUUCGGAUUUACUGGGCGUAAAGCGCACGUAGGCGGACUAUUAAGUCAGGGGUGAAAUCCCGGGGCUCAACCCCGGAACUGCCUUUGAUACUGGUAGUCUUGGGUUCGAGAGAGGUGAGUGGAAUUCCGAGUGUAGAGGUGAAAUUCGUAGAUAUUCGGUGGAACACCAGUGGCGAAGGCGGCUCACUGGCUCGAUACUGACGCUGAGGUGCGAAAGCGUGGGGAGCAAACAGG